rnacentral:lncRNA from 1 species
AUACUUUGUUUAGCAAUCUGGAGAGGAGUUGGCCUUCUUUAUCUUCCCGUUUGAAACUAGAAGCUAGAAGUACUCAGUGGCUGUAAGCUUGAAGAGAAUUCAAAGAAGCCGCAAAGGAGAUUGAAGAAAGUAAAGCCCUCUUGUUUUUAACAACUCUGCCUUGCCCCUCACACAUUUCCAUGAAGAGGAGAAAGUCUUAUAGCAAUGGAGCUUCAGGACUGGGAUUAUACUCUUAGGAACCAAACUAACACUCUUGUCUGCUAAGAUUAUCUGCUGGAGGUGACAUAUUUUCUCCAAUUAGAAUGGGGAAGAUGGACAAAAUUGACAGGGAGGAGGCAUGAACCAAGGAAAUUCCCUAAACUGAACAGGAGGAGGAGAAAUGCUGUCUUCGAUAGACAAAAUUCAGCCACAAUCAAGCUAAUUGAAUGCACAAAUGUAAUAUUUUUCUGGGGCACCUCCAAUUUAAUGCUUGAUGAAGUCGUGUCAUUCGCACGUAUUUACAAAAGCUUUUCUUCAUCCAGAAAUGUCUGUUGAAAUUGCUUACAGAUGCUGAGAUAGCAAAUCACUCUUCUAAUGUAAUGAGAUAAGUCAUCUCUAUAAACUUUGCUUGCUCAAAUGUACUCACAUAAAAGAAAUCAGGCUACAGGCUUUUUUUUCAAUAAAUAGAAUGAAUAACCAGAA